rnacentral:rRNA from 1 species
CCAAUAGCGUAUAUUAAAGUUGUUGCAGUUAAAAAGCUCGUAGUUGAAUUUCGAGAUCAAAUUGUUGGUCGUGCCUUGGUACGUACUGGCAUUAUUGGUUUCUCCCUUCUGACGAACCAUGAUGUCAUUAAUUUGGUGUCUUGGGGAAUCAGGACUGUUACUUUGAAAAAAUUAGAGUGUUUAAAGCAGGCUCACGCUUGAAUACAUUAGCAUGGAAUAAUGAAAUAGGACGUUUGAUUCUAUUUUGUUGGUUUCUAGGAUCGACGUAAUGAUUAAUAGGGAUAGUUGGGGCAUUAGUAUUCAAUUGUCAGAGGUGAAAUUCUUGGAUUUAUUGAAGACUAACUACUGCGAAAGCAUUUGCCAAGGAUGUUUUCAUUAAUCAAGAACGAAAGUUAGGGGAUCGAAGACGAUCAGAUACCGUCGUAGUCUUAACCAUAAACUAUGCCGACUAGGGAUCGGAUGAUGUUAAUUUUUUAAUGACUCAUUCGGCGCCUUACG